GGAACACUAUCCGACUGGCACCGAUUUAUGUCGGUGGGGAGGGCCACAAAGUGGGAAAUUCGUCGAAUGUGCAAUCGAUGAACGUGUGUGGCA
rnacentral:misc_RNA from 1 species